rnacentral:misc_RNA from 1 species
UGGUUCUGGCAUCGAUGAAGAACGCAGCGAAAUGCGAUAAGUAAUGUGAAUUGCAGAAUUCAGUGAAUCAUCGAAUCUUUGAACGCACAUUGCGCCCCUUGGUAUUCCGAGGGGCAUGCCUGUUCGAGCGUCAUUACAACCCUCAAGCUAUGCUUGGUGUUGGGCCACGUCGCUAACCGCGGCAGGCCCUAAAUUCAGUGGCGGUGCUGCUGGGCCCUAAGCGUAGUAACCUAUCUCGCUACAGGUCCUGGUAGGUGCUUGCCAUCAACCCCUAAUUUUUAAUGGUUGACCUCGGAUCAGGUAGGGAUACCCGCUGA